GUGCUCGCUUUGGCUGCACACAGACUAAAAUUGGACAAAACAAAGAAGAUUAGCAUGGCCCUGCCCAAGCAUGACACACAAAUUCGUGAAGCGGUCCAUAGUUUU